UGCAAGUCGAGCGGAAACGACACUAACAAUCCUUCGGGGGCGUUGAUGGGCGUCGAGCGGCGGACGGGUGAGUAAUGCCUAGGAAAUUGCCUUGAUGUGGGGGAUAACCAUUGGAAACGAUGGCUAAUACCGCAUAAUGCCUACGGGCCAAAGAGGGGGAUCUUCGGACCUCUCGCGUCAAGAUAUGCCUAGGUGGGAUUAGCUAGUUGGUGAGGUAAUGGCUCACCAAGGCGACGAUCCCUAGCUGGUCUGAGAGGAUGAUCAGCCACACUGGAACUGAGACACGGUCCAGACUCCUACAGGAGGCAGCA
rnacentral:rRNA from 1 species